rnacentral:rRNA from 1 species
AUGGAGAAGAACAGGAUGGAGAUGGAGAGCCUCGAGUCCAAGAUGCUGGUGGCCACCCAGUCCAUCGACACCACCACCUCCGAGAUCAUCAGGCUCAGAGAAUCCGAGCUGUUUCCUCAGCUACUUGAGCUGGUUGCUGGCUUGAUGAGCAUGUGGAGGGGCAUGUAUGAGUGCCAUCAGGUACAGACCCACAUGGUGCAGCAGCUUGAAUACCUGACCAUGAGCAGCAACCCAACCUCCAAUGACCACCGGCAGGCAGCGCUCCAGCUCGAGAUCGAGGUGGACAGGUGGUACUCGGCGUUCUGCAGCCUGGUUAAGUCCCAGAGAGAUUAUGUCUACUCGCUGACCGGCUGGCUUCGCCUCUCCCUGUUCCAAUGCCUUCACAACCCACUCAUGAAAGACAUCCAGAACUCCGACAUCUAUAGCCUGUGCGAGGAGUGGCAGCUGGCCAUCGACCGGAUCCCCGACAAGGUGGCCUCAGAAGGGAUCAAAACCCUCCUGUCGGUGAUCCACGCUGUGGUAGUCCAGCAGGCGGAGGAGCAGAAACAGAAGAAGAGGUCAGAUGCUGCAUUCAAAGACUUUGAGAAGAAGACAGAGGAACUGCGGUCUCUGGAGUCCAAAUACGGGCCAUACUCUGCCGCAGGCUAUGGAGAGAUGACGCGGAAGACACCAGUAGCAGAGAAGCGGGCGAAGGUGGAGGCCCUGAGGAGCAGGGCGGACGACGAGAAGAGCAAGCACGAGAAGAGCGUCGGGGUGACGAGGGCGAUGACCCUGAACAACCUCCAGACAGGCUUCCCCAACAUCUUCCAGGCGAUGACAGGCUUCUCCAGUGUCUGCAUGGAGGCGUUCGAGUCGGUGUACAACUUCAAGCGGAGCUUGGACCGGGCGCUCGACAUGAAGAGGCUGCUGACCUGA